UACGUAGGUGGCAAGCGUUGUCCGGAUUUACUGGGCGUAAAGAGCGCGCAGGCGGUCGGAUAAGUCGAAUGUGAAAGCCCCCGGCUCAACUGGGGAGGGUCAUUCGAUACUGUCGGACUCGAAGGCAGGAGAGGGAAGCGGAAUUCCCGGUGUAGUGGUGAAAUGCGUAGAGAUCGGGAGGAACACCGGCGGCGAAGGCGGCGUCCUGGACCUGGCCUGACGCUCAGGAGCGAAAGCGUGGGGAGCGAUCCGG
rnacentral:rRNA from 1 species